rnacentral:rRNA from 1 species
UACGAAGGGGGCUAGCGUUGCUCGGAAUCACUGGGCGUAAAGGGUGCGUAGGCGGGUCUUUAAGUCAGGGGUGAAAGCCCGAGGCUCAACCUCGGAACUGCCUUUGAUACUGAGGAGCUUGAGUCCGGGAGAGGUGAGUGGAACUGCGAGUGUAGAGGUGAAAUUCGUAGAUAUUCGCAAGAACACCAGUGGCGAAGGCGGCUCACUGGCCCGGUACUGACGCUGAGGUGCGAAAGCGUGGGGAGCAAACAGGG